GGUCUUCAAAGUAACCUUUCUUCU
rnacentral:piRNA from 1 species